GUAGGGAAUAUUGGUCAAUGGACGAAAGUCUGAACCAGCCAUUCCGCGUGCAGGAAGAAGAUUCUAUGGAUUGUAAACUGCUUUUAGCAGAGAAGAAACGCCUUCAUUGAUGAGGGUUUGACGGUAUCUGCGGAAUAAGCACCGGCUAACUCCGUGCCAGCAGCCGCGGUAAUACGGGGGGUGCAAGCGUUAUCCGGAAUCACUGGGUUUAAAGGGUGCGUAGGCGGGAAAUUAAGUCAGUGGUGAAAGUCUGUUGCUUAACGAUAGAAUUGCCGUUGAUACUGAUUUUCUUUAAUUGGGUUGAGGUUAGCGGAAUGUGACAUGUAGCGGUGAAAUGCAUAGAUAUGUCAUGGAACACCAAUUGCGAAGGCAGCUAGCUGGGCCUUGAUUGACGCUGAGGCACGAAAGCGUGGGUAGCGAACAGGAUUAGAUACCCCUGUAGUCC
rnacentral:rRNA from 1 species